UACGUAGGGGGCAAGCGUUGUCCGGAUUUAUUGGGCGUAAAGAGCGUGUAGGCGGCCAAGCAGGUCCGCUGUGAAAACUCGAGGCUCAACCUCGAGACGUCGGUGGAAACCGUUUGGCUAGAGUCCGGAAGAGGAGAGUGGAAUUCCCGGUGUAGCGGUGAAAUGCGCAGAUAUCGGGGAGAACACCCGUGGCGAAGGCGGCUCUCUGGGACGGUACUGACGCUGAGACGCGAAAGCGUGGGGAGCGAACAGG
rnacentral:rRNA from 1 species